rnacentral:rRNA from 1 species
ACUGCGGUGAAUACGUUCCCGGGCCUUGUACACACCGCCCGUCACACCAUGGAAGUUGGCCAUGCCCGAAGUCGUUACUCCAACCCUUGUGGAGGAGGACGCCGAAGGUGGGGCUAAUGACUGGGGUGAAGUCGUAACAAGGUAGCCGUACCGGAAGGUGCGGCUGGAUCACCUCCUAA